GACGUAGGGCGCGAGCGUUGUCCGGAUUUAUUGGGCGUAAAGAGCUCGUAGGCGGCUCGUCGCGUCAGCUGAUCGAAAUCCCGUGGCUUAACUGCGGGUCUGCAGCUGAUACGGGCGGGCUAGAGUUCGGUAGGGGAGACUGGAAUUCCUGGUGUAGCGGUGAAAUGCGCAGAUAUCAGGAGGAACACCGGUGGCGAAGGCGGGUCUCUGGGCCGAUACUGACGCUGAGGAGCGAAAGCGUGGGGAGCGAACAGG
rnacentral:rRNA from 1 species